rnacentral:lncRNA from 11 species
AUUGAAAAAUGGCCUCGUCAAACGGCUUCCACUGUUCUUUGCUAUGUCUAUUUUUUUUCUUUUUUUUCACAACCGAUAUUUUACGAGACCACUGUUACUUUGUUACAAUAAGGGAACACGGUUGUAAGAAUACCACCAUUCCGAUGGAUCUAAGUAAGUACUUGCGCAAGUGUCGGUAUAACGCGAGCCAUCGUUUAUUUUUACGAUUAUCGAUCCAUCGGGAUCGUGAACUAUUAAUAAUACGCGUUUGUGAAAUGACCGAUCGGCAGAAACGAUUUUCCAACAAACAAAACCGAUGAGAUAAUCGUGCGUGUAACAGAAAUUAGGUCUUCUUCGUGAUAUUUGAUAGUUGGAGUUACGUUUUUACGUUUUCAAGAUGAUAGAUGAAUCGAGGAUUUUGCAACAAACUAUGGAUUUUUGAUUUAAGGGCACGUUGAAAUAUUUCUGUUUUGACCUAUUUCUAAUCUUACAGAAGUGGAAAAGGAUUUAUUAUUAUUAUUUUUAUAUAUAUUUUUUAACACUUCGAAUUAAAUUUCUGGAAAUUGAAAGUUAAUAAUUAACAAGUUAUAUAAUAAUAGAUAUUGACAGAAUGAUUUUGAUAGAAAAUACACGCAAUUAAAAUUCAUGGUUUGCAUUAUGUACGGAAGUUUUGGAUAUCAAGGAUGAUACUUUUGAUCGAGAUGAAAAUGGUUAAACAAUAUUAGUGAUUACGUUUUCACGGGUUCUUCCGGUACGUGAGAACGAGAUUCACGCGCGAAGAAGGAACACAAAGUCAAGGCCGCUUGCAUUCGUCCACGAAAAUAGCUUUGGAAGCCGUCAAAGGGAUCGUAAAUUUAGAUUUGUGUGCAGACAAAGUGCUUUAAACUUGUGUUCCGCGUACGUUGUGAUAGAAAAAUAGUCUCGUGGUGUCGCGGCAGCGUGAUGAGGGAAAAGAAGAGAGAGAGAGAAAAAAAAGAGAGAGAUUAUAACUGUCUGGGACGAGGUUUCACGUCAUAGCUCGAUUCGCAGAAUUUUGCCACGAUUUUCAGAAAUAUUUCGAAUCUUUAAUGGGCCAUCGUCGACACGUUCUUUACGUAUCUUAAUCUUGCUCUUUCAAUUUGUCAACGUGUUUCAACAAGAUAAAAUAUCAUCCUUGGGGCGAGGGAAUACGUGUUAAAUCCAUGCUCGUCACGGGAAUUCGAUCACCUUUGAACUUUAAACAGUUGGAAUUCGAACGACAAGUUGGCCGGCCGAUGAGAAAAAUCGUGUCGACCGUGUACCGACAUUAGUAUCUGGUACAAUCCCGAUGUAAAAAAAGAUUCGAGACAUGAGAUCAAUUUGUCAUGGUGAUAGUAAAAUUCCAAUUGAACAAGAACGAGAGAGGAGGAAAAGUUAAACAAGAUUAACGCAACAAUAUCUGUCUAGCUCGUGAUAUCCAGACCUCAAAUAUUCCGCUUCUUUUCGAUUAUUUAUCGCCUAAUCGAGCACACUAUACUGAAAUAUAUCACCACGAGUGUUUGUACCGUUUGUGUUUCGAGUGGAGGCCAUCGAUUUAUUAUCCUCGUACAAUGUUUCCGUUGAGCGUUUUAUAUCAGCCUUACCAAGAUGUGCCAUAUCGAUCGACCACUACCAGAACAAUCUAUAAAGAGAUCACCGAUAAAGUCAAACACCCCAUAAAAUUCAUAAACACCCCUUUCUCGAAUCGAAUUAAUCAAGCCAAUUUAAAUUCAUUAACCUACGAACCACUUCGAUAAAAUCAAACGAUCCUCCUUUCUCCCCGCGAAUUAAUCAACUUCGACUUUUUUCGAAUUAGUUUAAAAAUCUCUCAACUUCAAAUUCACUCCGUCCAUGUAUGCCUUUUCGAAUGAAACGAGCAUAAUAAUCAAAGAUCGAUAUCGUUGUCCCAAUUACUCUCUAAUCUCCGACAAAAUUACAAUCCAUGGAUCAAAUAGAAACUCUUUAUUACAUACCUGUUCCAGUUCCUCGGAUGGAUAAUCGGUAAUCAGUGUAGCAUCAAUCGAUCCAACUUCGAUGCUCCAAUUUCGAGGAAAUUCGAAAUCCACGCGAUCGGAUCCCCUCCUAUUCCUCCUCCUCCUCCUCCUCCUCCUCAGGUGUUCCAGUGUGUGUUCCCGCAGUGGAUGGGAUCGGUUCCACGCGUGAUCGAGGAAGAGGGAUCGGUAAUUAGCGAUUUCUCAGCGGUGCCGAUCUAAUUUUCCACCGAGCAAAUUAUCGAGUGGCGCGUAGAUAGAAUUAGCCGCGUCGGUCUGGCUGAUAUCGCUAAAUUGCUGCAUUCCUACGAGACGUCCGGAGUGCAUCUCCCUCGUUAUAUCAUCAUCGUUCAUCAGCCUCUGGUCUACGCGUCGUAUAUAAAUAUAUCGCGUUUGGAUCAUCCUCUUGAUCCACCGGGGACGUAGACGUAUUUCCGAUCGAGUUGCUCGCGAAUUUUCCUCGAUCAACAAUGGCGUCGAUCCUCUGAGUUUAUUCUCUUUAUUAAGAAAGAAUAGGGAGGAGGGAGAGAAAGGGAGAGGAAAGGAACGUUGAACACGGGAGGAGGAAAAUGAUGAAAACGAAGAGCGAAAGGGAAGCGUAAGAAGCAAGAAGAAAAAGGAAUACUGAAGGAUAGCAACAACAUUAGAGCAACGAGGCAAAAAAAGAUAUGGGAAUCGUGGCGCCCAAAAAUCGUUUGUCGAUCCACCAAUUACCAUCACACGAAUCUAUCUCCACGGAGGGAAAACGACGAGAGUAAGAAAAUGAAGGAACGAUCGGCGUAUAAAUCGUUCUUCUAGUUACGACAGUGAAAAAGGAGAGAGAAAGAGAGAGAGAGAGAAAGAGAGAAAAAAAGAAAAAAAAAGAAAAAGGAACGGAACGUUAAGUAAAAACGAAAGUGCGCGGUGAAAGCAAACUCGUAGGAUCAUGUAAAGUACUUACACGACCGAUAAUUACCGCGUCGAGUUUUAAAACGUUGAUAGAGGAAAAAAUUAAAUAUCAGAAUAUGGUAAAAAUUAAAGGUCGUGUAGUAAUAUUCCCGUGUAAUUUAGACUAGUACGCGAUUCUUUGUUUAUUAACAGCUCGUGUACGUGCCUUAUUGUAUUAUUACGGCUUAUUGUAUAAUACGCCUAGACACUUAAGAAACAAUUGUCUCUAAGGCAACUGAAUGGUCGGUCGAUCGUGUUUGUUGUAGCUGUUAUUAUCGCAAUAUAAUUAAUUUUGAUGUAUAAUGAACAAAUGAUGGAAAAUAAGUGUAAAUGAUAGAAAAUAUGAUAAUUGUUUAAGUAGGAAGUUUUUAAAAAGUGAAAGAAGUCUUCUUUGAUGAGAAAAUUAAGAAGAUAAAAUUCUGUUGCAGCAAUUCGAUAAAAGAAAUGUUAUUAAUCGAAUAUGUAUUAUACGAUGUGUAAUAUAAUAGAAUAGAAAAAAAAAAAUAAUAGAGGAAUAUUUGUAAUUUAAAUUAUAUACGAAUACGUUAAACGUACUUCAUAAUAAGUAUAUCGAUAUAAAAGUUGAUCGAUGGGAAACGUCGAAAUAUUUCUAUUUCGCAGUUAUUUCAUUCCAAAACAUUGAAAUUUAAAUACGUGACCGAUAAAGGAUCGAUCCUUGAAUUUCGAUCAGCAAACGCCAAUUUCUACAUAAAGUUUUCUUACUUUUCAACUUCGUUCAACUAUUUGUCUUCAUUUAUAUUGUACUGCUCAUUGAUCUUGGCAGAAUAAGGUCUCCUUUAGUAUAAAUUCCACCAACUCGAUAGUACAAAAGGCGCUUUAAAUGGAACAUUGAUUAAUCUUAUUAGGCAAGUAUAAGCAGAUCUGAGGAAAUCUAUGUGAAGUAAACUUGUGUGAAAGGGGGAAAGAGAUUUAAUUGCAAACAAAAAAAAAAUAUCUCAACAUUCUUGGUUUCAAUUUAACAAAUACCUAUGUCGAGCCAUAAUUUCUUUAUCAUCGGCGUGCACAAUUAAGGAAAGUAUUUCAAUCACAAUGAAUCUAUCGGAAGAUCAUUGAAGCUCGUUUCGAGAAAUUACUGCCCACGAUUAUUUCACGUGGAACAACCGAUAAAAUUUAAUGCGACGCUGGGUCUCUUCCACGAUCCUUUGAACACGGCUGCGUAACCUGUUCUGAAAUCAUUAGAUUCAAUCUAGACACAUGGUGAUUCCACCGGUAAAACGGAAGAUAUCGAUUCUCGAUGGAAGCUUAAGCAUCCUGCUUACCAUAGUUUCAACGCAUUCCUCCACAUGGUUCCGUAAUUAUAAGGUAAAAUCAAUUAAUGAUGAAAUUGUUCAUCGUUUAUGAUGAAUUGUUAUCUAUUCCCCAUAUACGUAAUCCGAAUAAAUUUUCGAAAAAAGAAUCGUAAAAGAUUUCGAGUUUCUUAUCGAAAAUCAUAUCCGCAGAACUUAGAGAAACGGGGACAUAAAAUAUUAUAUCCGUAAUUACAACGUGUCUCAAUUUUAAUCUCCAAUAUCCAAUAUCCACCUUCUAAUCUCUCUAUUACUAAUUUUUGUAUCUGGUUCAGCUUUUACCACGAAUUCGUAUUCUAACUGACAGAUAUACUUUUUUCACUGUACAGACAUCAUCGAUCGACCGUGUCCGUUUUCCAUAAUUGUUUUAAUUUAUCGCCAGAUUUGACGUUAUCGAAGCGUGGCUUAUGGAACGAGUCACCAGUAACCAGAGGAAUUAAAUGAUCAUAAUCCUCGUUCGAGGGAAAAUCAAUUCACCGUACGCUUGAUCUAGUCCCUGGUUAGAGUUCGUAUCAAACGAAUAUACGACUUCCUCUUCGAGAAAAGUCGCCUCGAACUCGCCUCUCUACGUAGAAGAACACAUAGAGAAUCUGUAUCUGUUUCGUACGAUGCACAAGAGUGAUUAUUCCCCUACGGCAUCAAGUUUUGCAAGAAUUUGUAAUCUCGUACAUUGUAUCUCGAGAAGCGAUAUAUAGUUCGGGGUUUAUUGCAUUCGGUAAACAGACGGAAUAUGAAUGUAUCUUGAUCUUUCUCUCUCUCUCUAUCUCUCUUUUUACCGGACGUCGAAUUUGCAAAUUAUAAAGGUCGAUAAGGCACCGCGGGGAAAUACAACGUGCUCUGAUUGUAUUCAAAAUCGCAUUGUGCUUCGCGAAGAUUAAUGUUAUCGAUAUAGUUUAUGGAUAUCUGUUAUAUAUACGGUUAUAUACGUGUAUAGAUAGGAAUUUCUUACAUUGGCUCCGGAAAGGUACAGCAGAUACAUCUUCUUACCUUGGGAGGGAGAUGCAUGUUUGUGUGCUAAAUAGGGCUACGUUUAUCUGUUAGAGCACGGAGUGGAAUGGAAUUUGCUUCGACGUUUCUAACCCUUUGCGUAUUAAAAUACGAGCCAUUGUGGAAAAUGUAUAUAUUAUUAUUCCUUUUGUAUAGAUUAAAUGUUACAUCAUUCAUAUAUCAUUCAUCUAUCUUUCAUCGAUUGAAACGGUCAUAAAUCUAAUACGAUAACAGCUUUUAUUGGGCAUAAAAUUUUUGGAGAUUGGAUUUAUGUUUAUUUAAAAAUUGGAUGGAUACGUUACAAGUGGAUAUAUGAGUGUAUUAUACAAAUUAUUGUGUAACCACUUGACUAUUUGUCAUCGAUACUACAAGAAGUCUUAUAUAAUCCAAGACUUUGUAGCUUUUUGUUUUAUGAACGAAGAAUGGUUAAUUACACGACGAUAAUUUCGAUCGCAUUAUAAAUAUAUCUACGCAUUGUCAUCGAUAACUUUUAUGUGAUAAUAAGUUUGCGGUACGCCAAUGUGGCAAUACAUUGAAUAACAUCCUUGAACAUUUGAUCAUUUUACUUUGAACGAGCCGCGUGUUUAUUCGCUUGCCUGUACUACUUGGAUAUUUCCAUAGUUGCAUUAGUCAUCGAACCGUAGAUAAUUUGAAUUUAUAAGAUCACGAGAAAUUCUAUUCUCUGAACCUCUGAAUAGAUUCCUAUCGGGCACUGCGGGAAAUCAGGAUUAAUACAAUGUUCCCUUACGUCCUUUUUUUACCAUUCGAUCUUACGUACUGUUUAGAAUGAUUGUAUUAUGGAGGAAUAAUAAAUGGCGUGACUUUCGAGGUUAUAUUUUUGUAUUUCUCUGAAACGUCACGUUAAAUAUUUUAUUUCCUUUCGUGGAAUAUUAAUCUCUUCGCUUUAUCGUGAAAGAAUUCAUAAAAUUGUAAUUUAUUAUGAUAUAUCGAGCAAUGGUCCUCUAGGAAUAAAUUGUGUGUCAAUCAAAAAUUUUCAAUAUUCGAAUCCGAAUCACAGCAUUCCUUUACUAUCGAUCGUCGAUUAGAAAUUUAUUUCCAGUGUGUCAAAAUGAAUUAAGUAAUGUCGAAAGAGGUAUGUCGCGCCAAUGAAACUUUUAUUAGUGUAAUUUAUUUUCUUGGCUCCACGACACCGAAUAUAAAAGUAUAGUAAUGCUUUUUCGAAUGACCACCCACGGUGUGAACGUUAAAUAUUCUCACUGAUUAAAAAAACAAGUUAGAAACAGCGAUUUAAUCGAGUUAACAUAUG